rnacentral:siRNA from 1 species
AUUCACAGCAGCUAGCAAAUCGUA